rnacentral:tRNA from 1 species
GUGGUUGUGGCUCAGUGGUACAGCACUUGCCUCCCACAUGUGAGGCACUGGGUUCAAUCCUCAGCAACACA